CCAAACCAACGGCUAACCCCUCUCCCUCUGCCCCUCCUAGUUUGGAUUUGAGUCACUGUUUGAGUCUCUCUGUGGUGUGGUAUGCGAUGGAGGCAAUGGUGAAGAAAUACCAGCAGAGGUUCAGGAAGGUCAGGGACGAGAUGGACCGCUGGUCCUCGCUUCAGUCGCGCUUGAUUUCACAGUUCAGGAACGCCUCCUCCAUCAUCCAGAGGUUGCAGGUUCUCCUAGAUUCCAAGAAGUAUGUUCGUUUGAAGGACGUUGUUGGUAUUCAAGAGGCAGUACUGGCGAAGCAGAUGGAGUCGUUGCGGAAAAUCUUGUUUUCCAUGAACAAAACCAUGGAAGAGUUUCAUGGAAUUGUAUUGUCUCUUGGGAAGAUUCAUCGUGAUGGUAGGCAGAUGGUGAAAGGUGGUGGUUCUAAUCAGCUGACUGUAAAACAACUGCAGCAACGAGUUGGUGUAAAACCCCGUCUUGCAGAUUGCUUAGAUGGGCUUAUGCUUCUUCAGGACAUGCAUUGCUCUGAGUACCUUUUGAAAUCAUCAUUGGUUUCAGCACUCUCAGCACUUACCUUUAAACCCAGGUGUGUGAUUGCGAGUGAUUUGGGAGCGCUCCAGCAGCUCUUGGUUGAUCAGCCUAACAUCCCGAAUGAGGAGGUUCAAUUCAUCUUUGAUAUCAUAUUUGCAGAAGAAAUUUGUUGAUGUUUUCUGUUACAUUGGCUGCAAACUUCGUAGCUCUGGAAAUGGGAAGCAGUUUGAAACCUCUUGGUGUUCUGUAUGGGCGAUGAGUGAUGACAGUUGGAUGCUUGAACUCUGGUGUUGAGACUUCAAAAGGUGCCGGCAACGUUUUAUAUUUGGAAGUGCACAAGAGGGAGAAUUCAAAGAAAAUUCGAACUUACCUGUAUAUUCAUGGAAGUGAUGCAGCAGAAGGUUGGAAUAUUGAAGUUAAUUAUUAUUGUUGUUUGUGCCUGAAGAAGGGAUGUGUGUGAACUUCUGGAUCCUUUCAAUCUAUGUUAUUGAGCAGCAUGGAUGGCUGGGGAUCAACUACCCUCCCCAACUUUUUAGGCCCCUGGCCCUAGCUGCUUGUUAUUGCAGACCAUGAGCGGUAAGUGCCGUCUCAGAAUUACUCCAGCAGGUUUAACCUGAAGAGUCUUUUUGCCAAGAGGUUUUUUUUUUUUUUGGGUCAUAUUGCCAAGAGGUUUAACUUAUAGUUUUGAGAAGGAUAUUAGUUAGGUGUGGGAUGAUAUUUUGGCAUUCCUUCCUUCCCAGGCAAACUAAACUCGGUUUGGGGUUGAGUAGAAGUGCAUCAUGGUUACUUCCAUCUACGGGUCAGGAAUUGCAAUUUGCGACGACCUAGCUUGUCGUUUUGCCGUCCAGUUACAGAUUUUAAUUUUGAA